GACGAACGCUGGCGGCGUGCCUAAUACAUGCAAGUCGAGCGCAGGAAGCUGACGGAACUCUUCGGAGGGAAGGCAGUGGAAUGAGCGGCGGACGGGUGAGUAACACGUAAGGAACCUGCCUCAAGGAUUGGGAUAACUCCGAGAAAUCGGAGCUAAUACCGGAUAGUUCAACGGACCGCAUGGUCCGCUGAUGAAAGGCGCUCCGGCGUCCCCUUGAGAUGGCCUUGCGGUGCAUUAGCUAGUUGGUGGGGUAACGGCCCACCAAGGCGACGAUGCAUAGCCGACCUGAGAGGGUGAUCGGCCACACUGGGACUGAGACACGGCCCAGACUCCUACGGGAGGCAGCAGUAGGGAAUCUUCCACAAUGGACGAAAGUCUGAUGGAGCAACGCCGCGUGAGUGAUGAAGGUUUUCGGAUCGUAAAACUCUGUUGUAAGGGAAGAGCACGUACGAGAGGGAAUGCUCGUACCUUGACGGUACCUUACGAGAAAGCCACGGCUAACUACGUGCCAGCCGCCGCGGUAA
rnacentral:rRNA from 1 species